ACGUAGGCAGCAAGCGUUGUUCGGAAUUACUGGGCGUAAAGAGUGUGUAGGCGGUUUUCUAAGUUUGGUGUGAAAUCUCCCGGCUUAACUGGGAGGGUGCGCCGAAGACUGGAAGGCUUGAGUGCCGGAGAGGAUAGCGGAAUUCCUGGUGUAGCGGUGAAAUGCGUAGAUAUCAGGAGGAACACCUGCGGUGUAGACGGCUAUCUGGACGGCCACUGACGCUGAGACACGAAAGCGUGGGUAGCAAACAGGA
rnacentral:rRNA from 1 species